rfam:Neotoma lepida isolate 417 scaffold_9222, whole genome shotgun sequence.
GUAUAGGUUCCUCUUGGAACCACCUAUCUCUAGAAAAACGGUCCUA